GGGCACAUGGUGUAGUUGGUUAUCACGCCUGCUUAGCAAUCCGCUUAUAUGACUAUAACUGAAAUUCGGUCACGUGUGCAGGAGGUGUUGGGUUCAAUUCCCAAUGUGUCCA